GCCCCAGUGGUCUAACGGUAAGAUGCUCCCCUUGCAAGGUGACGAUACCGGUUCGACUCCGGUCUGGGGCU
rnacentral:tRNA from 1 species